rnacentral:rRNA from 1 species
GACGAACGCUAGCGGCGUGCCUAAUACAUGCAAGUAGAACGCAGUUGCGAACGGGUGAGUAACGCGUAGGUAACUGCCUCAUAGCGGGGGAUAACUAUUGGAAACGAUAGCUAAUACCGCAUACUGUGAUAUGGACCUUCUUUUUAUUGGGUAGUUGGGGAGGUAAAGGCUCACCAAGUCGACGAUACAUAGUCGACCUGAGAGGGUGAGCGGCAAGACUGGGCCUGAGAAACGGCCCAGACUGCGACGGGAGGCAGCAGUAGGGAUUCGUCGGCAAUGGACGGAAGUCUGACAGAGCAACGCCGCGUGAGUGAAGAAGGUGUUCGGAGCUUAAAGCUCUGUUGUUAGAGAAGCGUUAACUAACCAGAAAGGGACGGCUAACUACGUGCCAGCCGCCGCGGUAAUUC